rnacentral:lncRNA from 1 species
UAAAUUUAUUCACAUCUGGGCAUGAAAGUAGCCCCUACUUGAAACCACACUAGAGCACACACUGGAGGACAUUUAUCUAGCUAUUUAUAGAGUCUAGAAAUAAAAUUCACAAACUAUUAUAAUUUUUAUUUUAAAGGAUUAUUGUGGUCAUGAAAAUGAAGGAUCUGCUUAUUUUAUUUUAUUUUUAAAUUUUAAAAAUUAUUUUCAAAAAUGAUGUUUGUUUUUUCUUUACAUUUAUCAGGGACAACUGG